UAGAGUUUGAUCCUGGCUCAGAAUCAACGCUGGCGGCGUGCCUAACACAUGCAAGUCGAGCGAGAAAAGGGGAGCAAUCCCCUGAGUACAGCGGCGCACGGGUGAGUAACACGUGGGUAAUCUGCCCUGGAGUGGGGAAUAACACCGGGAAACCGGUGCUAAUACCGCAUACGAUCACAGAGUCUGCGGAUUUUGUGAUGAAAGGAGCAAUUCGCUCUAGGAGGAGCCCGCGGCUGAUUAGCUAGUUGGUGAGGUAAUGGCUCACCAAGGCAACGAUCAGUAUCCGGUCUGAGAGGACGGUCGGACACACUGGAACUGAGACACGGUCCAGACUCCUACGGGAGGCAGCAGUGGGGAAUUUUUGGCAAUGGGGGCAACCCUGACCAAGCAACGCCGCGUGGGUGAUGAAGUCUCUUGGGACGUAAAACCC
rnacentral:rRNA from 1 species